CAUCAUAUGAUUUAUUGUUCGAGAGGUAGGAACUUUCUGUUGCCCACAAAGAAGAAGGAGCUUCGAGGAGGCGUAGGGAUCUUUUCUUUGUGAGAAGAAGAGGAAGGAAGGAGCUUAAAAGCCUCCUUCUUUAGGGUUAGGUUUCUCGAAUGGAUGGCGGUGGCAAGAGGAGGGAGAGGAGCGUCUUAAAAUUCUCCUUCUUUGGGUGUUAGGUUUGCCGGAUAGCGGUUCUUUCACUCUCCUUUGCGUCUAUGUAUAACGAAGGUGGACGCACUCUCCUACUAGGGCAAGUAUGUCGUCUCCUCAAGGUUCAACUAGAUCGGCACGAUCGGGAGCUCGCCUUCAGGUAGCUACCGCUACUACCUUCGCGUACCGCCGUGCGGCUCCUGGCUGCGGCCGCCCUCGUCCCACCUCAGGCUCGUCUCCUUCGAUGCCGCGCAGCUCGAGGGGAGUACCAGGACGGGAGGGUUGGCCGGAGGCCCGUGGACUCGACUCGGACGAGACACAAGAACAGAAGACGAAUGAGGAGAGAGAGCUAAACGGAGAAACUAAACACAAGGAUGCUGAGCAUCAGACUCCCUCGUUCGAUGCUAGGAACACGGGAAGAGGAAGAACACAGACUAGGACAGGAGGACGCCGCGUUGCUGUGCCGAAACGAGGGGUUCCCAGAGCGGUAAAGACUCCGCUAACUGGAACCCUCUUCCAGAAAAAACUGGACAGACCUGGUGGCACAAGAACCCUUGGUCCGGCAGCCAGAGCGACAACAAAGGAAGGACAACCGGAGGCAACAGACGCGAGCGUCAAUGUGUCCAGUUAUAUAAGAACCCUUUGACCCCGCAAGAACGAAACGUCGGAGGACGAGGACAGAACAGCAACAGCGCUUCUAGACACUGUAAGCCCUGUUGUUCAUAUGAGCCAAGAACCGGGACCACGGACAUUUUUAGGAACAAAGCGUCCGCAGUUCGAACAGAGGGGGCACCGUCAAGUUCUUUGGUAUAAGACUGGGUCGACGCGUAAAGUGGAGCUGCCAAAGAGAGAUUCGAAGUAGGUCAUGCGAGAGCUAGAGUGCAGGAAACCGGAACACCCUGCUCUACUUGAGACCGGGGAAGUCGCCGCGCCACCCCGAGAUGCUACCCAAAAUGCCACCAAAGCCGCCGCCCGUACCUGUACUUGUACCGAAACCGGUCGUAGACCCUCGCAGCUGCAGCAGCAGCCAGGACGACCUACCGCCCUGCCCCCUCGACCGGCGUCGGCGGCGGCGCCUGCACGGCUUCUCCUUCCCCCCUCGCGCCCUCCUCUUUCGCCGCUGCCGGGAAUCCUCGGUGUCGCUUCGCCUCGCCGCCGCCUCCCUCUCCUAGUUGCGCGUGGAGCGGUGCGAGGCCUCGUACCAGGGGACGUGGCCGUUCUACCUGUUCCGCCGCGACGAGCGCCUCCACUAUUUGGUGCAAUUCUUCGAGUUCUCGCUCCGCCGCGCCCACCCGUCCGUGACGGGGCAGGGCAGGCCGCGGCUGCUCCAGUGGCACCUCCAGCAGGUCGUUGGCGUUCUUAGGGGGGUUGUGUCGGCGCGGCCGCGGCGGAAGGAGCAGUUCCGCUGCGAGUCGACGCCGCUGCCGACGCGCCUGGAGAAGCGGCUGCACUCCGCGCGCGACGUCGGCGAGCGCGGCUCCCAGCAGCCGAGCCUCCAGUGGUGCGACCCGCCCGCGCAGGCCUAGUGGCAGCGGUACAACGCGCUCCCGCGGCACUGCCGCCGGAGCCAGGCGGCCCGCGAGCUGAGCCACGAGCUGUCCCAGCGGUCGCGGCGGCGGCGGAAGCUCAAGAGCGGCUCCCUGAGCGAGGACCGGUCGUUUGCGGCCUCCCAGAGCUGCAAGCUGAGGAGGUCGAGAAGAAGAACUCUGCCGGC
rnacentral:rRNA from 1 species